UUCCUCUGUUCUACUCAAUAUGGCCGGC
rnacentral:sRNA from 1 species